UACUGUGCCGGGCUGCACUGUGUUGUCAGUCUGGGCAGCAGCAGUGUUCUGGGCUCAUCCACUCAUUGUAAUGUUGGUUUUCCAGAGUGGUGGCACUGCCCGGCACUUCCUCAAGAAGGCUCUCCUGCCCCUGACUGGCUGGUGUGACAGUGUUGGCAGUCUGCUGCUUCUUGAAGUCCGGUGUCCCAACCUCACUACAACGCUGACUACUGCCUUAAGUGUGGUAGUGGAGGAUAGAGGCCGAGCGGAGGCUACAGCGGACUAUUCCUGCGAGAAGGGGAGGAGGAUAGUCGGGAAUAGUCAGUGGAAGUGUGGUAGUAAUGGUAUCUGGAGUGGCAGUCAACCGCGCUGUGAAUAUGUGACCUGCGACCUACCACAAGGCUUGGAUAAUGGUAGAAUAGUCCGACUCAACCAGACCCUGGAAUACGGUAGCCUGGUCGAAUAUCACUGUCUACCGGAACACAGGCUGGUCGGGGGGAGCUUCCGGAGGUCAUGUGGCGAGCUGGGCGAGUGGUUGGGUGGAGAACCGAAGUGUGUGUUGGGUCCAGAGGAUGCCUACAACACCAUAGGCUCCGAUAGUAGUAGUAGUAGUAGUGUGAGUACUACUUCUACUUCUACCGCUAGCAACACCGGGCUCUACAUCGGACUAUUCUUCGGGCUCAUCCUGGCGAUAGUCUUCAUAGGAGUGCUAGUCUACUUCAGAAUGUUUUGGGCGCCCAGCCGUACACGUGAACUAACAGUCUUGGCUUCAGGGCAGGUCGCUAAAAUGGAGUGUCGAUGAUUUGAUUGAGGCAGUAUUCCUCGGCAAAGUGCAUGACAGCUUUUGCCUGGGUCCUCAUGUCUUCCGCUCCUCCAUACACACACUCCAAAUUCCAGUCUGUUAGCGGAAAGUUUAAGUCUCCAAGGCAGUGCCAGUGUUUGGAGUGCCACUGUGCCUGGCCGUCCAGCGCUGCCCGGCACACGAUGGCAUCCAGCUGCCCACCAUUGUCAGGGAGUGCAUUGACCAGAUAGAGGUACAUGCCGCCCAUUGGGUAGCAGCAGCAGCGGCAGCAGUGGAGAGCGGAGUCUGGAACAGCUGCAUAGUGUGGCAGAGAUUGAGGUGGAAAUGAUGAAGCAGGAAUCUCGAUUGGCACACCUCCAUACUCAGGUAACCGCCGGGCAGGUGUCUCGGAGCAAGGAGCAGCAGCUUUGGGAGUCUACAGCGGCACCCUACUCAACCCACCACCACCACCACCACCCAUAAUGUGACAGUUAUUAGCACGGAGGAAGUGCCAACUAGUGAGACUGACUGUGUUUCCGACACUGUGCCACUGUUGACGAGUGCAGUGCCGUGAGUGCCAGUGUUAGUGUGGCACCUCAGACGGAGGGUGAUUCGGCACUCCAGGGUGAUGUCAGAGUGCCAAGUGACGAGCCCAAAACCGAGGAGGAGAAGGAGGAGGAGGAAAAGAAGGAAGAGGAGGAGGAAAAAGCUAGUCAAGUGAUCAAACUGGAGGAAAAGGAAGAAAGAGGAGGAGGAGGAGGAGGAGGAGAGAGAAACACGGGAACAAAUAGAUGGAGAGAGGAGAGAAGAAGGAAAAAGGAGGAGGAGGAGGAGGAGGAAAAAUUCACCAACUUCACCACCAAACUUUCCACCAAUGAAAGAGGACCCCAAGAUACUGCCACACAAAUAGUGCCACAGGGGACAGCGGGGGUGGCACAGGGGGCCUCGGGGGUGCCGCAGGGGAGGGGAGAGCUGCCCCCGCCCCUCGACUCGGAGCCUUGACGACACUAGGCCUAAGGGUGCCUGAGGACGCCUUCCCAUGGACAGCAGCAGGCGACAUCCUCCUGAGGGGCUGCUGUGGCGUCCAUCCUCCUUUGUAUAA